GCGUGCGUGGCUUAGUGGUUAACACGGUCGUCUCACACCUCCAGACUCGGGGGUUCGAGUCCCACCGUGGCCC